UACAGAGGGUGCGAGCGUUGUCCGGAAUCACUGGGCGUAAAGGGCGCGUAGGUGGCGCAACAAGUCAGUGGUGAAAGCUCGACGCUCAACGUCGAGUCGGCCACUGAGACUGUUGGGCUUGAGCACUGUAGAGGCUAAUGGAAUUCCGGGUGUAGCGGUGGAAUGCGUAGAGAUCCGGAAGAACACCGGUGGCGAAGGCGGUUAGCUGGGCAGUCGCUGACACUGAGGCGCGACAGCGUGGGGAGCAAACAGG
rnacentral:rRNA from 1 species